rnacentral:rRNA from 1 species
GAUGAACGCUAGCUACAGGCUUAACACAUGCAAGUCGAGGGGAAACGACAUCGAAAGCUUGCUUUUGAUGGGCGUCGACCGGCGCACGGGUGAGUAACGCGUAUCCAACCUGCCCAUCACUUGGGAAUAACCUUGCGAAAGUAAGACUAAUACCCAAUGACAUCCCACGAAGACAUCUGAAUGGGAUUAAAGAUUUAUCGGUGAUGGAUGGGGAUGCGUCUGAUUAGCUUGUUGGCGGGGUAACGGCCCACCAAGGCAACGAUCAGUAGGGGUUCUGAGAGGAAGGUCCCCCACAUUGGAACUGAGACACGGGCCAAACUCCUACGGGAGGCAGCAGUGAGGAAUAUUGGUCAAUGGGCGAGAGCCUGAACCAGCCAAGUAGCGUGCAGGAUGGCGGCCCUAUGGGUUGUAAACUGCUUUUAUAAGGGAAUAAAGUGGGUCUCGGGAGACUGUUUGCAUGUACCUGAUGAAUAAGGACCGGCUAAUUCCGUG